rnacentral:tRNA from 1 species
GGCAGCUCAGUGGUAGAGUGCUUGCCUUGCAAGCAUGAGGCCCUGGGUUCAAUUCCUCAGUACCA